rfam:Triticum aestivum genome assembly, contig: Triticum_aestivum_CS42_TGACv1_scaffold_577131_7BL
UUAAUACUCACUCCAACCGAAAAUACUUGUGAUCAAAACAUAUAGAAAGGGAUGUAUCUAGAACUAAAAUAUAUCUAGAUACAUCCUCUUUUAUUCAUUUUGAUGAGAAGUAUUUCCAGAUGGAGGGAGUAGUAA